GAUGAACGCUGGCGGCGUGCCUAAUACAUGCAAGUCGAGCGAACAGACGAGGAGCUUGCUCCUCUGACGUUAGCGGCGGACGGGUGAGUAACACGUGGAUAACCUACCUAUAAGACUGGGAUAACUUCGGGAAACCGGAGCUAAUACCGGAUAAUAUAUUGAACCGCAUGGUUCAAUAGUGAAAGACGGUUUUGCUGUCACUUAUAGAUGGAUCCGCGCCGCAUUAGCUAGUUGGUAAGGUAACGGCUUACCAAGGCAACGAUGCGUAGCCGACCUGAGAGGGUGAUCGGCCACACUGGAACUGAGACACGGUCCAGACUCCUACGGGAGGCAGCAGUGGGGAAUCUUCCGCAAUGGGCGAAAGCCUGACGGAGCAACGCCGCGUGAGUGAUGAAGGUCUUCGGAUCGUAAAACUCUGUUAUUAGGGAAGAACAAAUGUGUAAGUAACUAUGCACGUCUUGACGGUACCUAAUCAGAAAGCCACGGCUACCUACGU
rnacentral:rRNA from 1 species